UUAAAACCAUAGAUAUUGAGCUUAAUCUGAUAAUUGACAAGAUAAAUGUAUAGGUUAUAGGUUGAAGUUUCAAGAAAAAUAUUUGUGAUGUAACAUCACCAUGUUAUGACAACUAUAGGCAACAUUGGAAUAGGAUUAUUAAUACUCAUUUUGGUUUGGAUAUUUGCUUUAGGAAUAUUUGUAAUUGCAGUUAAACUACAAAGUAAUAUUGCCUGGAUAGCUUUAUGUACAGCCGCUGUUAUUACAAUAAUUCUUGCUUCCUUCCCAGUGGAAAAACAUAAUAAAGAAUUAUACGAUAUAGAGACUGAGGAUAGAGACUUCACAUUAAUUUAUAAAAAUUUAGUACUUGUAUUUUUAUUGUUAAGUGCAGUACUUGGUUCUGUGGCUUUUUUUUUGUUUCAUUGUAUUGAACCAGUUCAUGCAAAAGCAAUACAUAGUUUUUACCAGAAAAAUAAGGAACUAUGAAUUUCAUAACAAGAAGUGCUUGCAAUUGCAUCAGAAAAAAUGUUGAAAAAAUUAUCUCAUCAAGGAAUAUCACAUCCUCUGCACAAUUAAAAAAAUUAAUUUCACUCAAAUCAGAUGAUGAGUUCUUGUCAAGAGUUUUGAAUUCAAAUAAGCCAGUUAUUGUCAAUUUUCAUGCAGACUGGUGUGAACCUUGCCACAUUUUAACCCCUAAACUUGAAGAGUUGAUUGCACAUAAUAUGGAUAUUGAUUUAGCAACAUUAGAGAUUGAUGACCAUCCAGCUUUAGCCCAAACUUUUGAAGUCAAAGCAGUACCUGCAGUCAUUGCUGUGAGAAAUGGACUUGUUGUGGAUAAAUUCAUUGGAUUAGUUGAUGCAAAUUCAAUUGAGGAAUUGAUUGAAAAGUUGAGUAAGAAGGAGUAGCAAAUCGAGUUUAUGCUCAAAAUUAUGUAUAUUUUUAUAUUAAGUUGUCACAGUUAAUGAGAAAAUAUAAAAGUUGAAGGUAA